GACGAACGCUGGCGGCGUGCUUAACACAUGCAAGUCGAACGGAAAGGCCCUGCUUUUGUGGGGUGCUCGAGUGGCGAACGGGUGAGUAACACGUGAGUAACAUGCCCUUGACUUUGGGAUAACUUCAGGAAACUGGGGCGAAUACCGGAUAGGAGCUCCUGCUGCAUGGUGGGGGUUGGAAAGAUUCGGCGGUUGGGGAUGGACUCGCGGCUUAUCAGCUUGUUGGUGGGGUAGUGGCUUACCAAGGUUUUGACGGGUAGCCGGCCUGAGAGGGUGACCGGCCACAUUGGUACUGAGAUACGGACCAGACUCCUACGGGAGGCAGCAGUGGGGAAUAUUGCACAGUAGGCGGAAGCCUGAUGCAGCAACGCCGCGUGCGGGAAGACGGCCUUCGAGUUGUAAACCGCUUUCGCCUGUGACGAAGCGUGAGUGACGGUAAUGGGUAAAGAAGCACCGGCUAACUACGUG
rnacentral:rRNA from 1 species